rnacentral:lncRNA from 1 species
UGCGGAUUUUGUUUUGCAUGUGCUCAUUCCCAACAAACAGGCGACGAGGAGAUUGACAGCAUUAGAUUGGUGCAUCAGGUAGGGGGAAGACAGUGGCAAGAAGGAAACUCGCAAUAACGAGAACUAGAGCUCAACAAUCAACAACGAUCGGCUCGACGAGACACUCUUCCCAUCGGGAAGAGGCCCCUCCCUUGCCUUCGGUAGCAGAGCCCAGUCUCCACAUCCUGUGGUUACCACAGACACUCAGAUUACUAUGAUCGUGCAACAAAUGAACGUCCUAAUGGAGGCAGUCAAAAGCCUCCAACAACAGCAAACCUAGCCACCACAACCGUCGGUGGAGCAACCGGUGGUGCAUUCAGCGCCUUCCAAGCAUAG